AGUGAACGCUGGCGGUAGGCCUAACACGUGCAAGUCGAACGGCAGCACAGUAAGAGCUUGCUCUUACGGGUGGCGAGUGGCGGACGAGUGAGGAAUACGUCGGAAUCUACUUUUUCGUGGGGGAUGACGUAGGGAAACUUACGCUAAUACCGCAUACGACCUACGGGUGAAAGCAGGGGAUCUUCGGACCUUGCGCGAUUGAAUGAGCCGAUGUCGGAUUAGCUAGUUGGCGGGGUAAAGGCCCACCAAGGCGACGAUCCGUAGCUGGUCUGAGAGGAUGAUCAGCCACACUGGAACUGAGACACGGUCCAGACUCCUACGGGAGGCAGCAGUGGGGAAUAUUGGACAAUGGGCGCAAGCCUGAUCCAGCCAUACCGCGUGGGUGAAGAAGGCCUUCGGGUUGUAAAGCCCUUUUGUUGGGAAAGAAAAGCAGCAGGUUAAUACCCCGCUGUUCUGACGGUACCCAAAGAAUAAGCACCGGCUAACUUCGUG
rnacentral:rRNA from 1 species